rnacentral:misc_RNA from 1 species
GAUGAAGAACGCAGCGAAAUGCGAUAAGUAAUGUGAAUUGCAGAAUUCAGUGAAUCAUCGAAUCUUUGAACGCACAUUGCGCCCGCCGGUAUUCCGGGGGGCAUGCCUGUCCGAGCGUCAUUGCCGCCCUCAAGCACGGCUUGUGUGUUGGGCCCCCGCCCCCCGGCUUCGGGGGGCGGGCCCGAAAGGCAGCGGCGGCACCGCGUCCGGUCCUCGAGCGUAUGGGGCUUCGUCACCCGCUCUGUAGGCCCGGCCGGCGCCCGCCGGCGACCCCAAUCAAUCUUUCCAGGUUGACCUCGGAUCAGGUAGGGAUACCCGCUGAACUUAAGCAUAUCAAUAAGCGGAGGA